UAAAAAAAUGUGUCACUGUACAGCUGGAAGAUAAUGUUUCACAUUCACAACAGAAGUACCAAAGGUUUUUUUUCCUCUUAACAAGCAUCGAGAAUAAUAGGUUUUAAAAAAAGAGAGAGAGAGAGAGAGCUUAGAGAAAAAAGUUUUCCCAACUUCUCAUUCCGCCUUCAGUUCCAGACUUCAGAGUCACCGUGAUCAGAGCUACAAUGUGGAGAUUUUAAAGUCAAAGUGUGAUCUGAGUUUCGCUGAAAGCAUCAUGAUCCCAAGCGUUAAAGAUCCAGAGCUACUCUAAUUUCCACAUGACAACUGCAAUGUGGGAAUGUGUCUUCACUGAGUCAAAUGGACAUAUAAAGUGGAUUAGUGCUAGCAAAAGACAGCUGAUGAUGUAAAUAUUCAGUUAUGACUUUGUGGGUCAAUAAAAAUAUUUAUGUCACAUGUUUUAA